CGAGCCCGUAGUGGUAACCUGGUGGGUUUGUUUUCCAUCCUGUGGAGGCGGUUUUUUUUUUUAUGUUUUGGGUUUACACUGUUUUUGUGAGUUGUAACGCUUAUCACGAAAGUCUGCAGUUUCAGUCUUGAGGUUAGCGAGACUACAAAACCACCAGGAAGAACGAACGAUUCCAGACGCGCUACCUUGAGAACUGUAACACUCACGGAGAAAGUCUGUAGCUUCGUUUCUGAACGAGCGAGACCACCGAAUCCACCGGACGGAAAAAACUCUCAACACAUCCGAAUAUGGGAAGGAGCAAACUCCAGAAACGCGCCUUUAAGAACUAAGUAACACUCAACUGCGAGGGUCUGCGGCUUCAUUUUUGAAGUCAGACCGAGAACCUACGGAUUCCGGACACAAGUCCAGCUCAGACAGAGUCUUGCUCUGUUGCCCAGGCUGGAAUGCAGUGGUACAAUUACAGCUCAUGGCAACUUCGACCUCCUGGGCUGAAGAUCAAGUGAUUCUCCCACCUCAGCC
rnacentral:lncRNA from 1 species